AUAAGGAGUUGGGUUGCGGAGUAUAUGAACAACCCAAUGAAGUGGAAGAAGUAGAGGUGCUUAUAGAGUUUUAUUUGUUUACGCUAAAAGAAGUUGAAGAUAAUUUGAGUAUUGAGACGUGUAUAGUAUAUGAAGAUGAGGGUGAAUUUUACUUUUUUCCUAUCAACCCAAAAAAGGUGUUUAAAUUUAUCCCUCAUAAUAUUUAUCCUCCCUUGGAAAAAAACUACAAAAAUGUCAAGGUUACUCUAAGUGGCAAUUAGUUCGAUCUUCACAACCUUGAGACACUCGGAUCUUUAGACUUCGUCCGUCAACAAUCCAAUGUCACCUCCAAAGAUCAGCUCAUGGCCGGUCAACUUCACUCUGGACCAAUUCCGGAGUGAUACGGCCUGGACGAAGAAUUCUGAUUCUACGGUUGAGAAAUUUCAACCUAAUUUGCAGGAUUUUGGAUGCUUGGAGGUCUUAGAGCUUGUUGGUUGCAAGAAGCUUAAAAGAGCCCCAAACUUUAGUGGACCAUGUAGUCUGAAGACACUGUCCCUCUAUGGUUGUUUAAAUUUGGUUGAAUAGCCACAAUCAAUUAGAGACACUGUCCAUACGUUAUUGUUCAUUGCUGGAAAAUGUACAAGAUCAAUCUGGCUUAUUAAGGCUACAUGAAUUUUAUCUUUAUGAGUACAGUAAUUUGAUUGAGCUUCGAGGUGUGGAGAGUCUGGUUAAUUUAGAGCGCAUUGACCUACAUGGUUGCUAUCACUCUGAGCAGUAAAUCUUGGUGAGUGAAGUUGUUCAAGAGUCGGGUUGCUGGAUGCUGAUAUCUAUGGGCCUUUAAUUCGUAUGAUGAUGAGACUCCAUGGAAAGGCUGAAGUGAGUCAAGAAAGGAGUGGCAGCUGGUGAAGAGGUGAUGGUUGGUGUGAGAGUUUCCAUUGCAGCAAAGUCGGCGCAAUGAGAUUCU